rnacentral:rRNA from 1 species
UACGUAGGGUGCAAGCGUUGUCCGGAAUUAUUGGGCGUAAAGAGCUCGUAGGCGGCUUGUCGCGUCGGCUGUGAAAACCUAGGGCUCAACCCUGGGCCUGCAGCCGAUACGGGCAAGCUAGAAUUCGGUAGGGGAGACUGGAAUUCCUGGUGUAGCGGUGAAAUGCGCAGAUAUCAGGAAGAACACCUAUGGCGAAGGCAGCUCUCUGGGACGGUACUGACGCUGAGACGCGAAAGCGUGGGGAGCGAACAGG